GUCCUGGCAGUAAACGGUGCACGCUUGGUGUGGCAGGAUUCGACCCCUGCCGUGCCGGAGCUAACGCGUUAAGCGUGCCGCCUGGGAAGUACGGUCGCAAGAUUAAAACUCAAAGAAAUUGACGGGGACCCGCACAAGCGGUGGAGUAUGUGGCUUAAUUCGAUGCAACGCGAAGAACCUUACCUGGGCUUGACAUGCAUUUUGUCGUCUGUGAAAGCCGGCUAGUAUCGCAAGAUACGGGAUGCACAGGUGUUGCAUGGCUGUCGU
rnacentral:rRNA from 1 species